rnacentral:rRNA from 1 species
UUUCGCAAUGCCCGAAAGGGUGACUAUGCGACGCCGCGUGUGCGAUGAAGGUCUUCGGAUUGUAAAGCACUGUCAGCCGGGAGGAAGACGGACUCCCUAACACAGGGUCCGUUCGACAGUACCGGCAGAGGAAGCCACGGCUAACUCCGUGCCAGCAGCCGCGGUAAGACGGAGGUGGCAAGCGUUGCUCGGAUUUACUGGGCAUAAAGGGCGCCUAGGCGGUGCGGCAAGUCGACUGUGAAAUCCCUCGGCUCAACCGAGGAAGUGCAGCCGAAACUGCCGCGCUAGAGGACGAGAGGGAAGAGUGGAACUCCUGGUGGAGCGGUGAAAUGCGAAGAUAUCAGGAGGAACGCCGGUGGCGAAAGCGGCUCUCUGGCCUGUCACUGACGCUGAGGCGCGAAAGCUAGGGGAGCAAACGGGAUUAGAUACCCCGGUAGUCCUAGCCCUAAACGAUGGGCACUAAGUAGAGGGGUUUU